UACGAAGGGGGCUAGCGUUGCUCGGAAUCACUGGGCGUAAAGCGCACGUAGGCGGAUUGCUAAGUCAGGGGUGAAAUCCUGGAGCUCAACUCCAGAACUGCCUUUGAUACUGGCAUCCUUGAGUCCGGGAGAGGUGAGUGGAACUGCGAGUGUAGAGGUGAAAUUCGUAGAUAUUCGCAAGAACACCAGUGGCGAAGGCGGCUCACUGGCCCGGUACUGACGCUGAGGUGCGAAAAGCGUGGGGAGCAAACAGG
rnacentral:rRNA from 1 species